AUUGAACGCUGGCGGCAGGCCUAACACAUGCAAGUCGAACGAGUGGCGGACGGGUUAGUAAUGUCUGGGAAACUGCCUGAUGGAGGGGGAUAACUACUGGAAACGGUAGCUAAUACCGCAUACCAUCAGAUGUGCCCAGAUGGGAUUUGCUAGUUGGUGGGGUAACGGCUUACGACGGCGACGAACCCUAGCUGGUCUGAGAGGAUGACCAGCCACACUGGAACUGAGACACGGUCCAGACUCCUACGGGAGGCAGCAGUGGGGAAUAUUGGACAAGGGGCGCAAGCCUGAUGCAGCCAUGCCGCGUGUAUGAAGAAGGCCUUCGGAUUGUAAAGUACUUUAAGUGGGGAGGCGUUACCCGCAGAAGAAGCACCGGCUAACUCCGUGCCAGCAGCCGCGGUAAUAC
rnacentral:rRNA from 1 species